rnacentral:tRNA from 1 species
GGUCAUUAGUUAAUUGGUUAAGCGUUUGCUUCGAAAUCAGAGGGUCCCGGGUUCGAUCCCUGAUGCGAUCG